AAUAAUUUAUUUGAUGGUUCCUUACUACACGGAUAACUGUAGUAAUUCUAAAGCUAAUACGUGCGUAAAAUCCCGACUCUUGCGGGGAGGGAUGUAUUUAUUAGAUAAAAAGCCAGCGCGGGUUCUGCCCGGUUUUGUGGUGAAUCAUAGUAACUUUUCGAAUCGCAUGGCUUCACGCCGGCGAUAGUUCAUUCAAAUUUCUGCCCUAUCAGCUUUCGACGGUAGUGUAGUGGACUACCAUGGCAUUAACGGGUAACGGAGAAUUAGGGUUCGAUUCCGGAGAGGGAGCCUGAGAAACGGCUACCACA
rnacentral:rRNA from 1 species